rnacentral:lncRNA from 1 species
AGACUUGUUAAGCUCAUGUGGCUCGUCAAACCUGUCCUGAUCUCAAACCCAACUUGUAGGGAAUCUUCUCCUGCGGGGAGCCCCAGACUCUCUAGCAUGCCUACAGUCCCAAAGACCCCUGCCCUCCCGGAAAUGAACCUGCUGCACCCUGAGAACCUUGGCAGGCCCUGCUUCCCUGCCAGAGGGAACUGCCGCCCACCACACCUUGCUCCGCCACACCUUGCUCUGCUUUCAGGGCCACCUGGGAGUCUCCUCCAGGCAGCCUCCAGACUCCCCGGUUGGUCUGUCCCUGCUCUAUAGCCCUGGUCCUUCAUGCUGGCUCUGCCUAGUCACAUGUCUUCCUCUCCUUUGAUAUGGAGAUUUCCUUGAAGGCAGAGAACUAAGAACUACCUAUGCAUCUCCACAGCCCUGCAGGUGUGGACAAAUUUUUUGUUUUGUUUUGCAACAGUAGUUCAAAUGCUUGCUAUGUAGUUCAAGCUGACCUCGAACUCACAACGAUCCUUCUGCCUCAGCCUCCUAGUGCUGGGAUUGCAGGAAUGUAUCACCACAUCUGGCUCAGAGCAGAAAUUCUCAAGAGCAGGAAGCCUUCUCCUCCUAUCUCCUGUCUCAGACCACAACUACUCCUUGCAACCACAACCAGAAGGAAGACAGCUGCAGAGCAGCCCUGAGGAGGCUGGUAGGCAGCAGUGUCUGUCACCAACUUGCCCUGGGCCCCACUGGUUCCUACCCAGGACAGUGCCCAGCACCCCAGAAGGAGAGCUGUGCUUUCUGCUGCCCUCACCACUUCAAAAGCUAUGGCCCUGCCCGGCAUCACUCAACCCAAAACCUGGUGGCAGCAGCCGCCCUGCCCGGGGGAGGUGGGGACCAAGCAGAGGGUGGCAGAGGUGCAGCCAGGUCAGGUGGCCCAGUGAACACAGGCCCUGGGGGUCUCUCGGGCCUGGCUCCCCUGUCCCUUGCUGGGUACACUCCCAGAGGGCACAGGGAGCAGGAAGGGAUGAGGGGCUCCCCACAGCAGGAGUCUGCCAGAGGCUGCAUACCUUUCACAGCAGUGCCCAGGCAGCUCCGGGAAGGUCUCUGCUGGUCUGGGUGGAUGGCGGGAGUGCGGUGCUGGGGACCUCCAGGAACCUGACAGUCUGUGCCAAGGCGGGUGAAGGACAAGGGCUACUCUGUCUGUGCACGGGACUUUCCCUUCCCAAGACUCCAGUCCCCAGGCAGCACCACAAGGAAACUCCCCUACCACACACUGCUCCAAAAAUAGCUCCGCUGCCACCUCUAUGGCGAAGGCAGCUUGUCAGGGCUGCCCUGGAGCCCACAGCUCACUAGGAACCCUAAGCUGACAGCAGUGGCCAUGGGCUGGUCUUGGAGCCAGCGCAACUCGGAAUGGAAGUAAGGCCCUGCUCCCCUAUUUGACCCACAAGGAAACUGAGGCAGGAGGGCACGAGGUUUCCCAGGGCCAUGAGCAGCGGAGGGGCAGGACUGCCCAGAGAGCGGCUCCCUUAACCGAUGCCACACCCACACGGCUCAGGCAAAGGGACUUUUGCAGGUGGCCAGUCUCCCUACCUCUCACCAGGCACCUGGACAGCAGAAGCUGGCCUACGGUUCCUUUCUUUCUCCUGUAUUCCCGGCCUGCUUGCCUCCGCUGGGGCCAGCAAAUGCUAAAAAGCACAGAGUCCUUGCUGCCCCUUCAAACACUGAGCCCUUGCUAUUCCCUCCUUUGCACUUGGGGCCAAAUGUGUCUGUUGUCCAUGGCGAUGGGAGCUUGGCAGGCAGCAGUCCUGGGUCCAAGUUCCAGCUCUGCCACAUCCCCACUGGGUGCCUGGCAUCCUCACAAGGCAAAACAAGGGCAAGAACAGUACCUACCGCCUCAGGCUGCUGUCGGUUUCCGUGACAUUACAAGGGUCAAAAUGCUUAGCCUGGCACCCAACAGACGCCCACAAUAGGUCAUUGUUUGAUUCUUGUAUUUGCCUUCAGGCCCCAGCUCCACUCCACAGGCCCAGGGACUAAGGAGUCUUGAGUGCUCCCCCUCCCCAGCAGCACCAGAACUGAUGCCUCCAGGAUGCCACAGACAGCCCAGCCCUCAUGAUGUCCACAGGACAGAACCCCAGGACAGACAUCCACAGCCAGAAAAGAGCAUACGAGGGCUCUAGGGAGGGAAGGCCAUGGCACAGGCGGUUCCUCACCAGGGCAGCGACUGAGGGUGCCCAGAUGGACAGCUGGAGUGGGCUGAGGGAAAGGGAGCUCAGGGCAUGGACCGAGGGGGUUCCCUGUGGCACACCUGCCUCCACCCUGCACUGUCUCCCCACCUCAUCUGCAGCUCUACCACCCCAGGGGCUGGCACAGGCAUAUGGAAGUUGAGGCCCUAGAAGACAUGCAGAGCCAGACCCUGUCACCAGGGCUCGGCCCCCUGCCAGCACACCUUCCCCGAUGCUAGCCGGGGACAAUUGCUGGGCACAUGUCAGGUGCCUGUCCCCUGGGUGGCUGCGGCUAGGCCCAGGCUCACUCCAGGAUGUGGUGGCCACACACCCUUGACUCUAAGACCCUGUAAGGUAGGCACUGGCAACCUCAAUUCCUAGAGAAGAUUCCAGGUGGGCCAGGCUGGGCCUCCUGAGAAGCACACCAAGCCCCAGUCUCAUAUCCAAUCAGCUGAGGAUGGCUCGGCGUGUCUGGACGACACUGUCUCCUCCACCCAGUCCUGCCAUCCCCAUGGGGUUACAGGGCUGGCACAUAAUCAGUGCUUCGGUGACUUCCUGUAUUACCUUCCUGACCAGAGCCUCCCUGGACCCAAGUUAGGCCUGGGACAUAUGUGGCCACUUCUAACUCCUCCAGAAAAAUUUUUGCUCUGAGCCAUAGCAUGUGUGGACUGGUGGCCAGGAACGCAUAUGACUUGGAUAAACCAUAACCCACCUCUGGCCUCAUUUUCUCCAAACACAACAUAAGUGGAUGGGGCUCUACCGAUAUGUUUUAUGAGGCUGAUGGGGGAUUUUUAUCUUACUGGACUUCCCUAAAGCUGAGCUGGGGAAUCUGGUAUCCAACCAUGUGUUCUUUCCUGGAAGAAAAACCAGAUCUGGGUCUGGAACUGCUAAGAGGAUUUGUUCCCUGGCCUGGGAACAUUUUUUGAGCCCUCUGCCCUCCCUAUGGUAUGCCAGGGCUCAUGUGGCUCCAGAGUUCCCAGACAUGGCCAGGCAGGUGGUGUAUCAGGAGGGGACUCACUCACAGAACACCCCUAGAUGACCGAUGAUGGGCCACAUCCUCCAGGGACACUGGCAGUGUGUACUCCAAAAUCAACCCUGCAAGGUCACAGUGUACCCAUUUGACAGAUGAGCAAACAGAGGCAGAGCUUGAAUGAGCACACAGGCUUGAGCCCUCAUCCAGACCCCUCUGCAGUGCAGACAAGGCUCCUGCCUGCAGAGAAGCAGCAAAUGGAGUGGGCUGGGCACCAAAUGGGGGGGGGGGGCAGAUCAAAACGCUCAUCUGUGUUGUGUGGGGGCAGUCAAGGGGGCUUCAGGGAGACAGCACAUGGGGGGACAGUAGGUGACCAGAGAGGAGGCCAACAGGCAGCCUAGCAGAGGCUGAGUCUGAGCCCGGAGUUCAAAUCCUGUGCUGCCGCUGUCUGCCCAUGUGAGGGUGAGGCAGGCCCAUGGUCGCCUCUUUGCACACAAGGCCCUGGGAGAGAGGUGGACCCGAGUGGGCCUAGGGCAAGACUGAAUGACAACUCGCAGGUCAAGGGCUGGCCUGGGACUGUCAGGAUCCGAGGUCACACAAGAGCUCGGUGACAGUGGCUACCACGGCACUGUGACUGGUG